UACCAGCACCCCGAGUGGUCGGGACGAUUAUUGGGCCUAAAGCAUCCGUAGCCGGUUUUACAAGUCCCCCGUUAAAUCCAGCUGCUUAACAGAUGGGCUGCGGAGGAUACUAUAAGACUAGGAGGCAGGAGAGGCAAGCGGUACUCAGUGGGUAGGGGUAAAAUCCGUUGAUCCAUUGAAGACCACCAGUGGCGAAGGCGGCUUGCCAGAAUGCGCUCGACGGUGAGGGAUGAAAGCUGGGGGAGCAAACCGGG
rnacentral:rRNA from 1 species